rnacentral:rRNA from 1 species
UGGGGAAUAUUGCACAAUGGGGGAAACCCUGAUGCAGCAACGCCGCGUGAAGGAAGACGGUUUUCGGAUUUGAAUACUUCUGUUCUUAGUGAAGAAUAAUGACGGUAGCUAAGGAGCAAGCCACGGCUAACUACGUGCCAGCAGCCGCGGUAAUACGUAGGUGGCAAGCGUUGUCCGGAAUUACUGGGUGUAAAGGGAGCGCAGGCGGGAGACCAAGUCAGCUGUGAAAACUACGGGCUUAACCUGUAGACUGCAGUUGAAACUGGUUUUCUUGAGUGAAGUAGAGGUUGGCGGAAUUCCGAGUGUAGCGGUGAAAUGCGUAGAUAUUCGGAGGAACACCGGUGGCGAAGGCGGCCAACUGGGCUUUAACUGACGCUGAGGCUCGAAAGUGUGGGGAGCAAACAGGAUUAGAUACC